rnacentral:rRNA from 1 species
GACGAACGCUGGCGGCGUGCUUAACACAUGCAAGUCGAACGGAAAGGCCCUGCUUUUGUGGGGUGCUCGAGUGGCGAACGGGUGAGUAACACGUGAGUAACCUGCCCUUGACUUUGGGAUAACUUCAGGAAACUGGGGCUAAUACCGGAUAGGAGCUCCUGCUGCAUGGUGGGGGUUGGAAAGUUUCGGCGGUUGGGGAUGGACUCGCGGCUUAUCAGCUUGUUGGUGGGGUAGUGGCUUACCAAGGCUUUGACGGGUAGCCGGCCUGAGAGGGUGACCGGCCACAUUGGGACUGAGAUACGGCCCAGACUCCUACGGGAGGCAGCAGUGGGGAAUAUUGCACAAUGGGCGGAAGCCUGAUGCAGCAACGCCGCGUGCGGGAUGACGGCCUUCGGGUUGUAAACCGCUUUCGCCUGUGACGAAGCGUGAGUGACGGUAAUGGGUAAAGAAGCACCGGCUAACUACGUGCCAGCAGCCGCGGUGAUACGUAGGGUGCGAGCGUUGUCCGGAUUUAUUGGGCGUAAAGGGCUCGUAGGUGGUUGAUCGCGUCGGAAGUGUAAUCUUGGGGCUUAACCCUGAGCGUGCUUUCGAUACGGGUUGACUUGAGGAAGGUAGGGGAGAAUGGAAUUCCUGGUGGAGCGGUGGAAUGCGCAGAUAUCAGGAGGAACACCAGUGGCGAAGGCGGUUCUCUGGGCCUUUCCUGACGCUGAGGAGCGAAAGCGUGGGGAGCGAACAGGCUUAGAUACCCUGGUAGUCCACGCUGUAAACGGUGGGUACUAGGUGUGGGGUCCAUUCCACGGGUUCCGUGCCGUAGCUAACGCUUUAAGUACCCCGCCUGGGGAGUACGGCCGCAAGGCUAAAACUCAAAGGAAUUGACGGGGCCCCGCACAAGCGGCGGAGCAUGCGGAUUAAUUCGAUGCAACGCGUAGAACCUUACCUGGGUUUGACAUGGAUCGGGAGGGCUCAGAGAUGGGUGUGCCUCUUUUGGGGUCGGUUCACAGGUGGUGCAUGGCUGUCGUCAGCUCGUGUCGUGAGAUGUUGGGUUAAGUCCCGCAACGAGCGCAACCCUUGUUCACUGUUGCCAGCACGUUAUGGUGGGGACUCAGUGGAGACCGCCGGGGUCAACUCGGAGGAAGGUGGGGAUGACGUCAAGUCAUCAUGCCCCUUAUGUCCAGGGCUUCACGCAUGCUACAAUGGCUGGUACAGAGAGUGGCGAGCCUGUGAGGGUGAGCGAAUCUCGGAAAGCCGGUCUCAGUUCGGAUUGGGGUCUGCAACUCGACCUCAUGAAGUCGGAGUCGCUAGUAAUCGCAGAUCAGCAACGCUGCGGUGAAUACGUUCCCGGG